rnacentral:rRNA from 1 species
GACGAACGCUGGCGGUGUGCUUAACACAUGCAAGUCGAACGGUAAGGCCCUUUCGGGGGUACACGAGUGGCGAACGGGUGAGUAACACGUGAGUAACCUGCCCUCAUCUCUGGGAUAACAGUCGGAAACGGUUGCUAAUACUGGAUAUGAGCUUGCAAGGCAUCUUGUGGGUUGGAAAGUUUUUUUUGGUUGGGGAUGGACUCGCGGCCUAUCAGCUUGUUGGUGCGGUAGUGGCUCACCAAGGCUACGACGGGUAGCCGGCCUGAGAGGGCGACCGGCCACAGUGGGACUGAGAUACGGCCCAGACUCCUACGGGAGGCAGAAGUGGGGAAUAUUGAACAAUGGACGGAAGUCUGAUGCAGCAACGCCGCGUGCGGGAGGACGGUCUUCGGGUUGGAAACCGCUUUCAAUUGUGACGAAGCUGUUUGUGACGGUAGCAGUAGAAGAAGCACCGGCUAACUACGUG